rnacentral:rRNA from 1 species
AGGCUUAACACAUGCAAGUCGAGCGGUAACAGAGAGUAGCUUGCUACUUUGCUGACGAGCGGCGGACGGGUGAGUAAUGCUUGGGAAUGUGCCAUUUGGUGGGGGACAACAGUUGGAAACGACUGCUAAUACCGCAUAAUGUCUACGGACCAAAGGAGGGGAUCUUCGGACCUUUCGCCGUUUGAGCAGCCCAAGUGAGAUUAGCUAGUUGGUGAGGUAAAGGCUCACCAAGGCGACGAUCUCUAGCUGGUUUGAGAGGAUGAUCAGCCACACUGGGACUGAGACACGGCCCAGACUCCUACGGGAGGCAGCAGUGGGGAAUAUUGCACAAUGGGGGAAACCCUGAUGCAGCCAUGCCGCGUGUGUGAAGAAGGCCUUCGGGUUGUAAAGCACUUUCAGUUGUGAGGAAAGGUGUAGGUUUAAUAAAUCUGCACUGUGACGUUAGCAACAGAAGAAGCACCGGCUAACUCCGUGCCAGCAGCCGCGGUAAUACGGAGGGUGCGAGCGUUAAUCGGAAUUACUGGGCGUAAAGCGCACGCAGGCGGUUUGUUAAGUUAGAUGUGAAAGCCCCGGGCUUAACCUGGGAAUAGCAUUUAAAACUGGCAGGCUAGAGUCUUGGAGAGGGGAGUGGAAUUCCAGGUGUAGCGGUGAAAUGCGUAGAUAUCUGGAGGAAUAUUAGUGGCGAAGGCGACUCCCUGGCCAAAGACUGACGCUCAUGUGCGAAAGUGUGGGUAGCAAACGGGAUUAGAUACCCCGGUAGUCCACGCCGUAAACGAUGUCUACUCGGAGUUUGGUAACUUAGUUACUGGGCUCCUAAGCUAACGCAUUAAGUAGACCGCCUGGGGAGUACGGCCGCAAGGUUAAAACUCAAAUGAAUUGACGGGGGCCCGCACAAGCGGUGGAGCAUGUGGUUUAAUUCGAUGCAACGCGAAGAACCUUACCUACUCUUGACAUCCAUAGAACUUUCCAGAGAUGGAUUGGUGCCUUCGGGAACUAUGAGACAGGUGCUGCAUGGCUGUCGUCAGCUCGUGUUGUGAAAUGUUGGGUUAAGUCCCGCAACGAGCGCAACCCUUAUCCUUAUUUGCCAGCACGUAAUGGUGGGAACUAUAAGGAGACUGUCGGUGAUAAACCGGAGGAAGGCGAGGACGACGUCAAGUCAUCAUGGCCCUUACGACCAGGGCUACACACGUGCUACAAUGGCCGGUACAGAGGGCAUCAAUACCGCGAGGGUAUGCGAAUCUCACAAAACCGGUCGUAGUCCGGAUCGGAGUCUGCACCUCGACUCCGUGAAGUCGGAAUCGCUAGUAAUCGUGGAUCAGAAUGCCACGGUGAAUACGUUCCCGGGCCUUGUACACACCGCCCGUCACACCAUGGGAGUGGGAUGCAAAAGAAGUGGGUAGUUUAAACUUCGGGAG